GCCAGCGUGGUGCAGUGGUGUGAGCAUUGGACGGUGACUCUGGAGACCAGGGUUCAAAUCCCUGCUCGGCCA